ACUUGGAAACAGGUGCUAAUACCGUAUAACAAUCAAAACCGCAUGGUUUUGAUUUGAAAGGCGCUUUCGGGUGUCGCUGAUGGAUGGACCCGCGGUGCAUUAGCUAGUUGGUGAGGUAACGGCUCACCAAGGCCACGAUGCAUAGCCGACCUGAGAGGGUGAUCGGCCACAUUGGGACUGAGACACGGCCCAAACUCCUACGGGAGGCAGCAGUAGGGAAUCUUCGGCAAUGGACGAAAGUCUGACCGAGCAACGCCGCGUGAGUGAAGAAGGUUUUCGGAUCGUAAAACUCUGUUGUUAGAGAAGAACAAGGAUGAGAGUAACUGUUCAUCCCUUGACGGUAUCUAACCAGAAAGCCACGGCUAACUACGUGCCAGCAGCCGCGGUAAUACGUAGGUGGCAAGCGUUGUCCGGAUUUAUUGGGCGUAAAGCGAGCGCAGGCGGUUUCUUAAGUCUGAUGUGAAAGCCCCCGGCUCAACCGGGGAGGGUCAUUGGAAACUGGGAGACUUGAGUGCAGAAGAGGAGAGUGGAAUUCCAUGUGUAGCGGUGAAAUGCGUAGAUAUAUGGAGGAACACCAGUGGCGAAGGCGGCUCUCUGGUCUGUAACUGACGCUGAGGCUCGAAAGCGUGGGGAGCAAACAGGAUUAGAUACCCUGGUAGUCCACGCCGUAAACGAUGAGUGCUAAGUGUUGGAGGGUUUCCGCCCUUCAGUGCUGCAGCUAACGCAUUAAGCACUCCGCCUGGGGAGUACGACCGCAAGGUUGAAACUCAAAGGAAUUGACGGGGGCCCGCACAAGCGGUGGAGCAUGUGGUUUAAUUCGAAGCAACGCGAAGAACCUUACCAGGUCUUGACAUCCUUUGACCACUCUAGAGAUAGAGCUUCCCCUUCGGGGGCAAAGUGACAGGUGGUGCAUGGUUGUCGUCAGCUCGUGUCGUGAGAUGUUGGGUUAAGUCCCGCAACGAGCGCAACCCUUAUUGUUAGUUGCCAUCAUUCAGUUGGGCACUCUAGCAAGACUGCCGGUGACAAACCGGAGGAAGGUGGGGAUGACGUCAAAUCAUCAUGCCCCUUAUGACCUGGGCUACACACGUGCUACAAUGGGAAGUACAACGAGUUGCGAAGUCGCGAGGCUAAGCUAAUCUCUUAAAGCUUCUCUCAGUUCGGAUUGCAGGCUGCAACUCGCCUGCAUGAAGCCGGAAUCGCUAGUAAUCGCGGAUCAGCACGCCGCGGUGAAUACGUUCCCGGGCCUUGUACAC
rnacentral:rRNA from 1 species